rnacentral:piRNA from 1 species
UGCUGACGCUGGCGGGUGGCGACUGGUU